rnacentral:tRNA from 1 species
GCCCGGAUGGUCUAGUGGUAUGAUUCUCGCUUCGGGUGCUUUACUAUCCAAUAUGCGAGAGGUCCCGCGUUCGAAUCGCGGUUCGGGCC